GUGGGGAAUAUUGGACAAUGGGCGAAAGCCUGAUCCAGCCAUGCCGCGUGUGUGAAGAAGGUCUUCGGAUUGUAAAGCACUUUAAGUUGGGAGGAAGGGCAGUAAGUUAAUACCUUGCUGUUUUGACGUUACCGACAGAAUAAGCACCGGCUAACUUCGUGCCAGCAGCCGCGGUAAUACGAAGGGUGCAAGCGUUAAUCGGAAUUACUGGGCGUAAAGCGCGCGUAGGUGGUUCAGCAAGUUGGAGGUGAAAUCCCCGGGCUCAAGCUGUGAACUGCCUCCAAAACUGCAUGACUAGAGUACGGUAGAGGGUAGUGGAAUUUCCUGGGUAGCGGUGAAAUGCGUAGAUAUAGGAAGGAACACCAGUGGCGAAGGCGACUACCUGGACUGAUACUGACACUGAGGUGCGAAAGCGUGGGGAGCAAACAGGAUUAGAUACCCUUGUAGUCC
rnacentral:rRNA from 1 species